GACUGAUCCUUCCAGUGACAGAGGCAGGGCUCGGUCCCGCCGGGCCCCCGUGGCCGUGGGUUCACGUCGGGUGUCCGCGGCCCGAGCCCACGGUGGGGGCAGAGCGGGGGGUGCGGGCGCUCCGCGGGGAGGGGGACCGGCCCGGCAGAGAGGAGGAUCCCGUCUCCUCGUUGCGGGAAUUUACACGGAUAUGGAAAAACGCUUGUCAUGGCUUAUCUGUCCAGCAAUGAACGUGUCUGGUGCUGGAAAAUUAACGUCUGUUACCUGUACUGCACCUACUGAUGGAACAGUUCCAACCUGGAAUGGGCAAGAGGACCAUUUUUAAAACACUGUAAUAAAAAACAGUGCAUCAAGGAUGAACAAAGAUUUCAUUGCUUCUGGGUCUGUCUCAAAAUAAAG